rnacentral:rRNA from 1 species
UACGAAGGGGGGCUAGCGUUGCUCGGAAUCACUGGGCGUAAAGCGCACGUAGGCGGCUUCUUAAGUCAGGGGGUGAAAUCCUGGAGCUCAACUCCAGAACUGCCUUUGAUACUGGGAGGCUCGAGUCCGGGAGAGGUGAGUGGAACUGCGAGUGUAGAGGUGAAAUUCGUAGAUAUUCGCAAGAACACCAUUGGCGAAGGCGGCUCACUGGCCCGGUACUGACGCUGAGGUGCGAAAAGCGUGGGGAGCAAACAGG